UGGUGGAGCGAUUUGUCUGGUUAAUUCCGAUAACGAGCGAGACUCUGGCCUAUUAAAUAGUUCGCCGAUUCCGAUCUGUCGGCGUUAACUUCUUAGAGGGACAAGUGGCUUUUAGCCACGCGAGAUUGAGCAAUAACA
rnacentral:rRNA from 1 species